rnacentral:rRNA from 1 species
UGCUGGAGGUAUCAGAAGUGCGAAUGCUGACAUAAGUAACGAUAAAGCGGGUGAAAAGCCCGCUCGCCGGAAGACCAAGGGUUCCUGUCCAACGUUAAUCGGGGCAGGGUGAGUCGACCCCUAAGGCGAGGCCGAAAGGCGUAGUCGAUGGGAAACGGGUUAAUAUUCCCGUACUUGGUGUUACUGCGAAGGGGGGACGGAGAAGGCUAUGUUGGCCGGGCGACGGUUGUCCCGGUUUAAGCGUGUAGGUGUGUGUUCCAGGUAAAUCCGGUUCACUUUAACACUGAGGCGUGACGACGAGGCACUACGGUGCUGAAGCAACAAAUGCCCUGCUUCCAGGAAAAGCCUCUAAGCAUCAGGUAACAUCAAAUCGUACCCCAAACCGACACAGGUGGUCAGGUAGAGAAUACCAAGGCGCUUGAGAGAACUCGGGUGAAGGAACUAGGCAAAAUGGUGCCGUAACUUCGGGAGAAGGCACGCUGACACGUAGGUGAAGUGAUUUACUCAUGGAGCUGAAGUCAGUCGAAGAUACCAGCUGGCUGCAACUGUUUAUUAAAAACACAGCACUGUGCAAACACGAAAGUGGACGUAUACGGUGUGACGCCUGCCCGGUGCCGGAAGGUUAAUUGAUGGGGUCAGCGCAAGCGAAGCUCCUGAUCGAAGCCCCGGUAAACGGCGGCCGUAACUAUAACGGUCCUAAGGUAGCGAAAUUCCUUGUCGGGUAAGUUCCGACCUGCACGAAUGGCGUAAUGAUGGCCAGGCUGUCUCCACCCGAGACUCAGUGAAAUUGAACUCGCUGUGAAGAUGCAGUGUACCCGCGGCAAGACGGAAAGACCCCGUGAACCUUUACUAUAGCUUGACACUGAACAUUGAGCCUUGAUGUGUAGGAUAGGUGGGAGGCUUUGAAGUGUGGACGCCAGUCUGCAUGGAGCCGACCUUGAAAUACCACCCUUUAAUGUUUGAUGUUCUAACGUGGACCCGUUACCCGGGUUGCGGACAGUGUCUGGUGGGUAGUUUGACUGGGGCGGUCUCCUCCUAAAGAGUAACGGAGGAGCACGAAGGUUGGCUAAUCCUGGUCGGACAUCAGGAGGUUAGUGCAAUGGCAUAAGCCAGCUUGACUGCGAGCGUGACGGCGCGAGCAGGUGCGAAAGCAGGUCAUAGUGAUCCGGUGGUUCUGAAUGGAAGGGCCAUCGCUCAACGGAUAAAAGGUACUCCGGGGAUAACAGGCUGAUACCGCCCAAGAGUUCAUAUCGACGGCGGUGUUUGGCACCUCGAUGUCGGCUCAUCACAUCCUGGGGCUGAAGUAGGUCCCAAGGGUAUGGCUGUUCGCCAUUUAAAGUGGUACGCGAGCUGGGUUUAGAACGUCGUGAGACAGUUCGGUCCCUAUCUGCCGUGGGCGCUGGAGAACUGAGGGGGGCUGCUCCUAGUACGAGAGGACCGGAGUGGACGCAUCACUGGUGUUCGGGUUGUCAUGCCAAUGGCACUGCCCGGUAGCUAAAUGCGGAAGAGAUAAGUGCUGAAAGCAUCUAAGCACGAAACUUGCCCCGAGAUGAGUUCUCCCUGAGACUUARAGUCUCCUGAAGGAACGUUGAAGACGACGACGUUGAUAGGCCGGGUGUGUAAGCGCAGCGAUGCGUUGAGCUAACCGGUACUAAUGAACCGUGAGGCUUAACCUUACAACGCCGAAG